rnacentral:rRNA from 1 species
GACGAACGCUGGCGGCGUGCUUAACACAUGCAAGUCGAACGGAAAGGCCCGGCUUUUGUGGCGUGCUCGAGUGGCGAACGGGUGAGUAACACGUGAGUAACCUGCCCUUGACUUUGUGAUAACUUCAGGAAACUGGGGCUAAUAUCGGAUAUGAUCUUCUGCUGCGUGGGGGGGAUUGGAAAGUGUCGGCGGUUGGGGAUGGACUCGAGGCUUAUCAGCUUGUUGGUGGGGUAGUGACUUACCAAGGCUUUGACGGGUAGCCGGCCUGGGAGGGUGACCGGCCACAUGGGGACUGAGAUAGGGAGCAGACUCCUACGGGAGGCAGCAGUGGGGAAUAUUGCGCAAUGACCGGAAGCGUGAUGCAGAAGCCCUGCGUGCGGGAUGACGGGCUACGGGUUGUGAACCGAUGUGUCAUGUGCCGAAGCGUGCGUGACGGUAAUGGGUAAGAAAGCACCGGCUAACUACGUG